CUUUCCUCAUGGCAGGCUAUCCGGGGAUUCCAUCAUACUUGGACUUGUCAUUUAGAAUGCAGAAAUUCAUUUAUCUUUCGUAUGCCUAAGGCUCUCAUAUAUCUUCACUAACAAAGUAGCAUGUCCGCGAGGGAUUUGGCUACCACUGAUGAAAUUGUGAGGUUCCAACACAGGAAUUCACGGAUUAUGAUUAAAAUUUUCUCCAGCUAUCAUUGCUCAUAUGACUAUACCUCGUCCUUAUGACUUGAGAUUUCACUUCUAGAUUCAAUAGAUUUAAAUGAAGAGACUAGAGAUUUUUUAUUUACCUAGUUUUUGUGGGUUUCUAAGGCCAUAUUUGUCCGACAAACUUAUCUUUUCUCUGUUGUUAAUCUCUUUGUCCUUGUUCGAGAUUAAAUGACGACAGUCCUGCUGCUCCUUCAAAUUCUUUAUUCCUUCUUUUGCAUUUUUCGUCUUGUCCUUUUGCAUUGCCAUUGUUAUUCGACUCAUUGAUAAGGAACUCCUUGUCAGAUCUUAAUGCUUUUAUUUUAGUAAGAACUGGCUCCAUUUCACCCAUCUCUUUACAAUUAUGAUGAUCUUCUAACACCAAACAGUGAGAUUGUGGUUAUCUUUGCCUGAGUUUCUCUCAGAUGACGCCAUUUUGUUGACCACAAAUUUAUAAUCAACAAAUUCCUCUCGCUUAACUUGGACUUUCUCCUCAUAAUCUCUUUAUACUUGAUACUCAAUAAGGAGCUAGAUGAGUAAAUAAUAUUUGAGAGGAAGAUAUUCAAAUUUGCAUCUAUUUUUUU
rnacentral:lncRNA from 1 species